GUAGGUGGCAAGCGUUGUCCGGAAUUAUUGGGCGUAAAGCGCGCGCAGGCGGUUCUUUAAGUCUGAUGUGAAAGCCCACGGCUCAACCGUGGAGAGUCAUUGGAAACUGGAGAACUUGAGUACAGAAGAGGAAAGCGGAAUUCCACGUGUAGCGGUGAAAUGCGUAGAGAUGUGGAGGAACACCAGUGGCGAAGGCGGCUUUCUGGUCUGUAACUGACGCUGAGGCGCGAAAGCGUGGGGAGCAAACAGGGAUUAGAUACCCUGGUAGUCCACGCCGUAAACGAUGAGUGCUAAGUGUUAGGGGGUUUCCGCCCCCUUAGUGCUGCAGCUAACGCAUUAAGCACUCCGCCUGGGGAUACGGCCGCAAGGCUG
rnacentral:rRNA from 1 species